UUUUUUUUUUUUUUUGGUCCUUACGAUAGAAUUUCUAUAACCUAAUCUAUGGGAAGGGAGAAAAGGGACUCGAUGUGAAUAGAAACUAUAUCGAAAAAAAUCAAUUAAAACCGCCACAUGCAAUGACAAAUUGGUGGGAAGCAAGAGUUGAUCUCCCGUACCACCAAAACUUAAGUCUUUGGUGGUGACCACCAUGCCAAAUGCCUAGUGGCACAACGAGCUAAUAGAUAAGGUUCAAAUAUACCAACAAGACCUAAAAGUUUGAAGAACCAAUUGAAUUGUUUUAACGUUUAGGCAGCAAUUUGUGUACCUCAGACUGAUGAAAGUAUGAUCCAACAUCAUUUCUGCCGACGUCAUCACAUGUGCAUCAGAAGUUGAUUUGCGUCACUCUCGCUCAAGUUCGCUCCUCCGAGCGCUGUCUCUUUUGUUAAUCUAAGCAUUUGUUUCCCUUGUUAUCAAUUUCGAUACGCUUGGUUGCUUAAUUUUUUGUUCUUAGCCCAAUAAACUUAUUUUUUGAGCCCUUCAAUUUAUACUAUUAAAAAAAAGUACAAAAAACUUUAAAGAAAAUAUUUUUUUUUUAAUUCUUCGCCAGAUUUAGUCCCUCAUGUUAUUUAUUCGCUUGACAUAUUUCUGGUCCACUUAUUGAGUUGGAAUAAGUUGUGUAUUGUCUGUUGUUUUGAAACAAUAGUGUGUUUGGACAGUAGAUUAUUUGAAAUAAAUUUUUUAAAAAAUACUAUAAUACUUUUUUUAUGUGAUAUAUGUGAAAUAAAAAGAUGAUUAAAAAUGUGUUGAUAACGUAAACAAAUAAAAUUAUACAAAUAAUUUACAAUCCAACAAAUUAUCAUAAAAAUUAAGGACCAAUUAUAUAACCAUUAAAACACGAGGGAGAAAAGUAAAAUGAAUGCGAAACCAUGAACACAAAAAAUGCCACCGCUGAAACGGUAGGAACUAAAUUUUUAUUAAGUAGUCAAAAUAAGUAAAAGCGUAUGCCCAAGAAAUUAUUCCAUUUUAUUGAAGGGCACUCUAAAGCCUUGAAGGGAAUCACUGGGGCUAGCUUAAUGGCCAAGAGAUGGUCUUUAGAGGCCUUACACUGUUAGAUUUAAGAUUUGAAUCCAUAUAUGAUAGUUAGGGGUGGAAAGUGUGAAAGGGUUUUUUUUUUUUUUUUACAGGGAGUUGGGGAGUACGAAAUUACGUUUCCGUUUGGAUUGGUCUAUUUUUCAAAACUAGUUUUUUAAAUAUAAUAUUACAAUAAUAUAUAAACAAAAAUAACUCUAAAAACAUCUCAUCCAUAUAAUAUAUAAAAAAACAACUCAAAAGUAUAUUUUUAAAAUAUUUAAAAAAUAAAUUUUACAAAAUUUUCCAACUAUCACCACCACCACAACUAUUUCCACUCAACACUACCACCAUCCCCUUUCUCCUCCCUUCUUCCUCCUCCUCUCUCCAUUUCCUUCUUCCUCCUCCCUUCCCUUUUCUCGCCACCCCCGGUCCUUCCCUUUCCCUCUCUUCCCCGAUCUAGUUGUGACUAGAUUGCCGCCUUUGGUCGAUCGGGAGGGAGAGGAGGAGCGAGAGGUGGCGGGGAAAAGGAGGGAAGAAUGAAAAGGGAAGGUGAAGAUGGGAGGAGGAGAAAGAGUGAAGGAGAGGGAGAAGGAGGAAGAGAGAGAGGGAGGAAAAAGGAAGAAGGACGAGAUAGUAGUAGUUAUGGAUGGUAAUAUUAAUUUUCAGUACUCUAAAAUUUUUUUUAAUUUUGAAGGUACACUAAAAUAUAUUAAACUUCUCAAAAAAUCACAAAAAAAUCUACAAUAAAAGUUUUUUCCUAUAUACUAUUACAGUAAAAUAUUUCAAAAAUACUAAAAAAAAAAUAGCUAAUUCAAACUUAGCAUACAUUUUUGGGUUCAAGGAACAAAGAAAUAAGAAAUUGCUACACAUGAAAACGUGAUAAGUCAAUGGAUUAAUGUUCGGCCCAAAUUUUCUAAAAGAUAUGUCUCUGGGUUUAUCUAAGUCGACUUUUUCAAGAACAGAUUUAAAGCCCAAUAUUGACCCGCUAAUACCUAAGCAAAAGCUUGGCGAAUUUUGUCGUUCCGCACUGCUUUGCACCGCACCUUGUUUUCAUUCACUAAAGAGUGAGAAUCUGCAGAAGGCGAAGAAGAGAAAAGAAGAUGGGGAAGAAAGCAAAGAGCUCAAGGAAAGGGAAGAAGGCAUGGAGGGCCAACAUAAGCACCCAAGAUAUCGAAGACUUCUUCGAGAAGUCAACCAAAGACGCUCUCUCCGGCGGCUCACUCGCCGACGUCCCCAGCGACUCCCUCUUCUAUGUCGAUAAGUCCAGAGGUACCAAAACCCGAUCCCCUUCUUCUGACAUCAUUUAUUUCAAGCUUCAUAUAGAGGGGUUCUUUUCUUUCUCCCCGUUUUUUCAAUUAUUCGAAGCAGGAGGACAAAUUUAAUGCAUUCUUAACUUUUUGUUAAAGCCUAUUGGUUUAGUUGUUUGUUGAUUAAUAAGUUGUAAUGGUUGUAUUAUUUACGUCGAUUAAAAAGGCUUGGGACGUUAAGUGAGUUAAGCUAUCGUGAGUUUUCCCGGGUGUAAAUUUCUUCAAGUAUUUGUUAAGUCUUUUUCCUCCCUUUAUGAUUCUGAGCUGCAGAAUGUUGUUUUAGUAAUUAGUUCAUACGUGAAAAUCAUGUGUGUACUGAAGAAAAGCUGUAGGAUUAAUCUGAAUUUGAAAUGAUAAUGUACAUUACUUGCAAAGUGAAUGAUCAUUUGGAGCAGCUUUGGGAUGACUUGGGUAGGGUAAAGAUUGUCUUUUCAUACAUUGAUUAAAGUUGUCAAACUGCUUCUUUUAGUUUUAGGGCCCGCUGGAUCCAGAAUAAUCGUUGAUAAAUUAGCUAAAAGAUGGUUUUGUGCUUCCCUCUAUUCAUUAACCGUAUUCUGGUUGAGCAAGUCUGUGUAAUGAGUCAUAACAUGUAUUAUAUGGAUUCAGAUCUUUCCGUCAAGCGAAAGAUUGAAAAACACAGGGAGAAAGUACUCCAUUCUGAUAGUUUACUGCAAAGGAAUCCCUUUGUCCAAACGAUACCAUCUUCAAAACAGAAAAAGUCCAAGAAGAAGAAUAAAGAGAUCCAAACAGCAAAAGCUGCUGCUCAAGAUUGUGAAAAGGUGAGCCUUGUCUGUUGUGGCGAUCAAAUAAAAGAGUAUGGAUGAUACUUUGUUAGCUUACUGUCAUCUACAUUUUGCCAGGAUAGUGGUGUCUCAGAAUCUGGCAUGGUGGAUAUAUGGGAUGAUAAAGGUCCUGCUCCUUAUUGACAAACUCUCUUAGUUCCUAUGGUCCUUUUCCUUUUGAUUGAGAGUAGAAUAUAUUAUUUACAUAAGUUCAUGCAAUUUUGCAGGUGAAAGCAAUGGCAGAAUUAAAAAGGUACAAAUCUCUUGCUGGUUGAAAUAUUCUAAAAAAGUGUUACUAGAAGUAAUAUUCUUCCUUUUUUAUCUCUCAAGGACACGGGCAUAUAUUUGUCUCUGUUGUGCUGUAUAAAAUUAAGGUUAUAAGUCGUUUUCUGUUCUAUAGAAAUGAGUUUCACUCCAUGCGUGCCAUUUAUAACAGUUCUAUUAAAAUAUCUUAUGGUAUUGUGGCUUAUCAUAUACCGCCAUGACAGAAGCCCAAGCCUUCCAUUAUACCUGCUGUUGAAGUUGAGGCUCCUGGAUGCUCAUUCAAUCCCUCCUUUGAAAGUCACCAGGUGGUUCUAAAUUUCAAUCUCUAUAUGUUGUUUGUAUGUUGAUCUACUGCUGCAAACCUGCUACUUACAACUGUCUUUUGGAUCCAGGAUUCAUUAGCUUGUGCCGUUGCAGAUGAAAUGCAGAAAGUCUACCGAAAUGAAUUGGGGCCUGCACCUGUCCCUCUAACUGUUACUGGAGAAGUUCUUAAUGAAGAAGAUGUGAGUAUAAAUUUUGUCAAUUGUCAGCUAGUUUGCUUGUGGUUGAUUACCCUUUUUUGGUUUGUCUUUUUGUCUAAUCUCCCAUAUUCCUGAGAAGAUUAUGUCACUUAAAUUCCACUGUCCAGAUGCUUUUUCUUGAGGCUGACACUGGAUCUGAUGAAGAGAAUCAAAGUGAGAGCGUAAUCGAGGAUGGAGAUAUGGAUCCUGAUAAGAGGUCUGGUUCUUUUCUUCUGUUUUAACUGUAAAGUCCCUAUGGUUGCUUUAUAUUUUCUUUAGCAUAAAUGUCCAACCCUUUUUUUUGGGGGUCCAAACCGUUUUACCAUUGUUAGUUUCUUUUUAUUUGUCUAUCAUCAGAAUUUUGGGUGGUCUCAAGUCCUUUGUUGUUAAUUUUCUAUGGUUUUGUUAUCAGUUUCUUCCCGAUGCUCGUUAUUCUUAUCUAGUUUACCAUACAGUGCAAGCAUAGUAAUUAAAUGCAGUACUGAUUUGGGAAGGUUUGCAGGUUCCUGAUGUAGUAAUCCUUGUUUUCUUGGCCAUGUUGUUGGUGUCUUGUUUUGAAUUUGGUUGCAUGUGCUUGGUUAAGAAAGGGCUCUAAAGUUUGGUUGGAUACUGUUUGGUGUAUUUUGGGCCUUGUUUAGAGUCAUAAACAUUGAAGUGAAUCAUUAGAUGUGAUGACCAAGAGACUGGAAUGAUACCUGAACAACUCAAACAUAACAUGACAGAGCUUCUACUCCUAAGUCUGUGGAUUUGGUAGGAUGGCUUAUAAAUGAAUGCGAUAUUUCUGUUGUCACACCAUUCAAGGGUUGCUAAAGUUGAGCAUGCAACCAGACAUACAGCCUAUUGGAUGAAUUCUUUGAAAGAAAAGUUUCAGAUGGUAGUUUCUGAAUCAUAUUUUGAGCAUACUUGUUAAACAACAGUCAGUAGUCUGAAUGGUCAUGUAAACACAUUGAUGUCAUAAUGAAGCUUUGGUCAUUGUGGUAAAACAGAUCUGCAUCCCAUGCCUCAUAUCUAGUUGGCUGAUCAGAAUGGGUCACUAUACCAUUUUGUACAUGUUUUCUACAUUACCCUAACAAUAAUCUUGGUUGAGUAGAUAUUUAAUUAGCUUUUGUGAUGGGUUGAUACUAUUGUUAGAAUAUGGUGUUGUAUUUAUUUCAAAUCAAACACACACUGAAGUAUAAAUCUUGUCUGGCAUGUGUUUUCUUGUUAAGAAACCUCAUCUUGUUGACUCAGCUCAGAAGACUUUAGCUUCACUCAACAUCAAUCUCAUUAAAGAUUUGAAAAUCUGCAGGGCUCUUAAAGCUAAACGGGUGACAAGAGUUGAGCUAAACAGGAGGGCUAGGCGCAAAGAGCAGCUGAGAGCAGAAGCAGAAGCCAAAAAAGUGGAGAAACUCUCAUCUGAAAUUGAUAGGUAGCUUAACUUGUUAACAUCUGAAAAUUUUCUUUAAAAAAUGAUAAUUUGUUCCCCCCCCCCUCCCUUCUCUUCUCCAGGGUCUUUUGCUAUGACUAUUUACCAUUCAGGAUACUGUUGCGCUAACGAGGCUCAUUUAUUCUGCAGUUUGCCAGACAUUAUAGAAGAAAUAGAGAAAGAGGAUGCAGAAAAACAGAAAAGACAUCUCCGUCGUGCAGUUGCUAAACAAGAAAGACUAAAAUCUUGUCCACCACGCUUGGGAAAGCAUAAGUAUGAUGAUUUUCAUAUACGCUAUAUGACCUUGUGAACGUCACUUGUAUUUUUUCCUUUAGACAUUUUGUGGUUUGAAUGCUGAACUGGAAAGUUCAGAUAAGUGCACUGGUCCUGGACGCUGCUUAGUGUCCUUGGAAAUGCCAAUGCAUCAUUCUGACAUGAAAUUGAUUUGAACUUUUUGCUACUUUAACUUGUAGCUUAGAUGAAGACUCACUAGCAUUAUUCUUUCUCAGAUUUGAGCCAGCUCCAGUUCAAGUGCUAUUAUCUGAAGAAAUCACUGGUUCUCUUCGAAAGCUCAAGGUUUUGCAUUUGACUUGAUUAUUCUAGUGAAUGGUUUCUUUGGUUAAGUUUUCUGUCAAAUAAGUUUUGGAUUUUAUUCCUUAGGACUUGACCAUUCUAUGUGGUUUUACUCAUCUCUUUGUGGCAAAUAGGCCUGUUGCACUCUUGCACGAGAUCGGUUUAAGAGCCUUGAGAAAAGAGGACUCAUAGUCCCAAGCAAGAAGAGCAGCAGGUAGGCAACUCCAGUCGAUUAUGUUUUGCAUCACUAGUUAUGAAUUAACUAUAAGAAGAAAACAUUUGAUCCUUUCAAAAAUUUUCUCGUGUUUUCCUCAUAAUUUUCUCAGUCAUCAACUCUACUUCUGCAUCCAAUAAAUUGCUUUCCCGAAUUCUUGGAAACAAGUUGACUGAUAUAUUUUUUAAAAAAACAUCAUGCAAUCCCAAUUGCAAUUCUAAAAUUACUUUCACAUUCCAUACUGUUGAAACUAAUUUCCUGGUUGGUUAUUGGAUAUUUUCAUCUGCAACUGCACUGUUUUAGCUGUCCUGCCAUCUGCGUCAGAAAAGAAAAAGAAGGGAAGAAAAUGUGUGCCUAUAGUUUAUAUUGUUAAUGGUGAUAGAACUUUGUACGUCUCGUGCAGGAAAUAGGAUGGCCUUCUAGGCGGACCUGGAAAGCUUCACUUUGGUGGCUGAAUUUGGAUUGCCUUUCAGCGAAGCGAUAGUUAAGUCAGUACAGAGAAGCGGAAGGGAAGUGCCGUUCCGACAUGCCCUCAUGUGCUUGCUUAUUUCCGAGUGGUUUUCAGUUCUUAGUUUUACGGAUAUGUGAAAUUCUUUUCUAUUUAGAUGUAACCGAGUCCCGUGUCAGUUCCAUUGGAUCGUUGUUCAUCUUUGAUUCAGAUGAAAUCUAGUAGUACCAUCUCCUUCUCAUUCAAGGCCUUCCAUUAAGCAAAUGCAAUGUAUUAAGUUUCUGAAUUCUAUACCAAGCUAACAGGUGUCAGUUGUAAGUCUAUCAAUCGAGCUUUGGAGAUGAGAAUAUUAGCGAUUACAAUGAUGAGUCUAUUCAUCAAUUCCUAAAGAAGCAAGAAACAAUUUUGGUGAGAGUUCGCAAAUUUGCACCGUUGCUGCAUUAAUAACUUCUAAUAUUAGGACUGAAACUGUACGAGGUGUGGAUUUAAGGAAGAAGAUUAUCAGCAUUGAGAGUGUGCAGGGGAUCUAAGGAAGAAAAGGCAUGGAUUUAUCAUUUAUCGAAAUUUUCAAGCUACGAAAUUCCACUUAACUUCGUACCGUAAAUACUUCACCUACGGGAUUUUCUUUCUUUGCCACUGUACAUCUUCUUCUCCAAAUGCAAAAACACAAUUGUCUCCCCAAGAAUGAGGACCGAUGUAAUUCUUCGUUCAAAUUUUUCAUGACAAUCGAAUAUUAAGUUAGGUCUUUGUGGGAUGAGAAUGAUAAAAUGGAAGGGAGUGUAAAUGAGAAAUCUUGAGUUGAAAACUUUUUAAUUAUCUAAAAAAAAAAAAUAGAGUUUGGCUUGUGUAAAUAUUUCCACAGUCCUUGAUGGUAACAGAAAAUUCUAAGCGGGUAGUAAUAAAAUCGAAUAAAUUUUCCUGUUUAGGACUUAUAUCGUGUCAGGAGUUAGGACUCGAUUAAAUUUUCGACUACUUAUUAGUGCAGAGGGUCAAAGUGAGGCUAGCCUUCCAGCCUGACACCAACACUGGAUAGCCGGCUGAGUUCUUUCUCAAUCACUAGUUACAAGAAAAUCUUUGAUUUAGAAAGAAACAAAGUUGUAAAUAGUCAAUUUGUUGUUUUCCUCCAAGAACCACGAAAUUUCAGGAACAUUACACAGUAAAACUCGAGAGAUUGUUGGGCAUCAGGAUGCGUAUUUUAGCAGCGAGGCUCAGCACUGUAAGCCUCCUUCCCCUUCUCUAUAAUUUACUACUCAAUUACUCUACUUUUUUUUUUUCAUAAUCGUGUGAGUACAUAUUUCAUGUGAUUGAAUAUUUUUCUUUGAUCUUUCGGGUGAAUUUUAAUGCAGUACCUAUGUAGAAGAAACCCGUUAAGUGCUCAAUCUCGCAAUUUGUCUUCAUUUCACGGAAGAGGUAAACUUUCUUUCGUCUUGCUUUCUGGGUAUUUUUGGUUUUUUUCAUUUCCCGUGGCUGAUUGCCUGAUGAUGCAGUUGUUGUAUUGAAAACCCUGACAUAAAAAAGCAGCUUUUAAUUAUUCUCUUACCUUACAAUUUGCACAUGAUUUGAUUGAAGAUUUUUUUUUAAGUAGCAUUUCACGAUUAUAUAAAAUGACAGCCUCUAAUUCUCGUGUAGAAGUAGAACUCUGCCGUACAAGCCUCUAAAGCAUCAUGUUUUUGAAGAUAGUUCCUUUUCAGAUUGCAUUGAAAGAAAAAUGCAAACAGUGGCUCCUGUCUUUGUUUGCCCGAAUAUUGCGUUUUAAUGUGUCUACUGCCGACAUACAAUUUUCGAAAGCAUGUAUUACCAAAUCCCCAGUCAACAUUAAUCAUCUUAUUUGGCAGCAACAGUCAUUUGCUAUAUCGAUUUAUGCAUACAUAAGAAAAGAAGGGGAUAAGGUUUGGCUUGUAGAGCUUGGCUGUAUCGGCCUCUGAUUGCUUUGGCUACCCUUUAUUAAUCCACCCUGUGGAAUCAGAUGAAAGAUCAAUUGAAGAGGAAGCAGAACGGAAAAUAGGAUGGUUUUUGAAACUUAUCUUUGCUGGCACUGCAACCGUUGUGGCUUAUCAGUUCCUCCCAUACAUGGGUAUGUGUAGAUUGAAUGAUCCAAGUUCUAAAAGUGAACAUCCAUGAUAUCAUACUUUAAUUGGCUUCCAAGGUUAUGACGUUUGAAUAUUAAAUUGUUCUAGGUGAUAAUCUGAUGCUGCAGUCUGUGUCACUUUUACAAGUCAAGGAUCCCCUAUUUAAGAGAAUGGGAGCUUCCAGAUUAGCUCAUUUUGCAAUAGAUGGUAACGUUUGGAGCAACUGCAAAUUGUUUAGCAAUGAGUUGCUGAUUUACUGCCAUGCUUCUGUUGCCUGUUUAGUGCCUGUUAAUGCUCUUGAUGGUGGUCAAACUUCUUCAUCAACCUAUACUCCACUUAGGCAUCUUCUAUUUGAUUCCUUGGAUCCUUGUUGUCAAAAUUUUAGGUCAAGAUUUUCCAGUGACGGACUGCUGCCAUAUAUAAAGGUUUUAUGUUGCUUGAUAAAUUAUCUUGACUAGUAGUUAUUUACCUCAAAUCUCUAAAUUCAAUGUAACCUCAUUUUGUUUGGGUGGCCUAUGUUGUAAACAAUAGAUGUCUUGUUCUUUCCUUCUUGGCCUAAGUUGCACUAUCAAAAGAAAUUGAUCAUUUGCAACGGGAAUAACAAUUAGGGUGGUUAAUUAAAUGUUUUGAUCUUUGGAUUUCCAGAUGAAAGAAGGAUGAAGAUAGUUGAGAUUGGUGGGGCUCAAGAGCUUCUGAACAUGUUGGGAACUGCUAAAGAUGACCGUACACGAAAGGAAGCAUUGAGGGCACUUGAUGCCAUAUCAAAAUCAGGUUAGCCGAGUAAGAUACCUGUAAUUUGUUAUGUUUCCAGUAUGGGAAGUGUUUGAGGUUGUGUUUUUGGAAAUUCUCGAAUGCCUUUUGAGAACUCUGGUUAUUGGAAGUGUUUUGGCUUGUGUUUUUGGAAAUUCCCGAAUGCCUUUUGAAAACUCUGUUCUGGACCUUGAAUUCUGAACACUCUGUAUUGAUUUAAGAAACUAAUGGAUUCAUGAAUGUUAGUUGGAGAAACCGUAAGAAUGUAUUGUAGCUAGAGUAUGUCUAAUUGGCUUGUUAGUUAAAUAUAGUAGUGAUGAAUGGUUUGGUUUAAUUUAUCUUGUAUAAAGCUGUGAGGUCCAUUCCUCCAAGUGGUGUAUUAAAUAUUUCAUUUUGCAAAUUGGCUGAGUUUUUAGACUGCGGGUCAUGUAUGGAACCUUAGUUACAGUUCCUGAUGAUUGACAUUCAAGAGUACUAUUUCUCGGUAAGACCUUAUCACGAAUAGCUUUUCAUGACACAUUUUUGUAGGUUGUUAAAGACGUUGGAAAAAGAAAUGGGUGUGUAAGAUGUAAAAGUUGUAGAGUAAGAUUUUAUAUUGAAAGUAACACCAAGAGCACCCACCUAAUUUGGUAUCCAUAGUCUUAAGAGAUGCAGAGGACUCUUGGCUGUAAGUGAAGUUGUUGGAGGAUAAGUUCCAUCUAAAAAGUUUGAGGAGAGUGUUUGCUGAUGACAGUAAAUUAUGAGGUCCGUGACUGCAGAGCGGAAUAAGUUCCUCUUGGCAUCCAUAUGGCCAUCUGUACUAUAACUACGCAUUAGCAUAAAGAUGAGCCAUUCCUGAGUUCCUGCCUGCAUUUUCUGUGAUUUGUUUCUCAAUUUAUUGCUUUCAGGUGUUCACAUACACAUUAGCAUGCAAUGACAAUAAUGGUAUUUAUCUGUUACUAUGAGAUUAGAUAUGAGUGACAUUGGAUAUGAGAAGUUCAUCUUUAUGGUAUAUCUGGUACAGGCUUAACUGGCAGAUUUACUUUUUUGGAAACCUUUCGUGUGUAGUCCUCAAUUUUUAACUUCCAACUUCUGAAUAAGUUUUUUCAUGCGUAACUUUGCAUAUAUCUAUUAUGGAAAAGCAUUUCAGAUGUCUUUUAGUUACUAAUUUUUAUACGUUGUACAUAAUAAGCUAUUUGUACCAUGUGGGGUUAUUAUAACAGCAAUUGGACUGCUCUACUGCAGAUGAAGCUCGUGGCUCUUUACGAAAAGCUGGAGCCAUCUCUGUCAUCAGGUCCAUCCCUGAUUCUGCUGAAGAUGCAGAGGUCAAGAAAUUCAAGCUGAGCCUGUUGGAUAGAUUCAAAGAUCUGAGUUAUGAGGAUUGAUUUCAAGAUUUGAAACAGGACUUCGAAUCUCUCUCUCUCUUUUUUUUUUUCAUCAGCCCCAAGUUUUCAUCAGCUUACUUGUCGGAUAUCAUAUUUAAUAUAGCGGAGGGAAGUGGACUGGAUGUUUCUUGUUUAGCUGAUGAUAGAGUUGCACACUCUCAGCUUCUUAUCAAAAAUUAAUUGUAGAACUGUUCUAAUGUCAGAGGAUGUGCUGGAUUAAUACGUCUCAAUCUGAAAUCAAGAUUUUCAAGGUGAAAUUUCCUCUUGUUCUCCUCGCACUUGCAGUGUACUGGUUGAAUAUUUUGCAGGUAAUUCUAAAUUAUCUAUUAAGAAAGUGUUCUUGCAAUGUCUCUGGGCAUUUCUUUUAUGCUGCGUUUGAGGGAUUUGACAAAGUAUUUAUAAUUUUCUCACAUCCUUCUAGGUUGUCUCGAUUAGCGCCGCAAACGAAUCGAACCGCUCACGAGCAGCUCGAGGCCGAACUGGACUCGAGUUCGGUUGACAUCGAGCUCGAGUCGAGUUCGAACUGAUCAAGUCGAACUUGAGUUCAAAGAUAUUUAACUCAUUAGUUCGCGAAUCAACUCGAUAAUAUAUAUAUAUAUAUUAAGAAUUAAUCUUUCCUGAUAUUAUUUUUUUAAAUUUGAAUUUGAACUUUACAUUUUGAUUUUGUCGAAUUCAAACUCGAGUUCGAACUUUAUAAAAUUAAGUUGAAACUCGACUCGAUUAGAUCAAGAUUCAAGUCAAUUCAACUUGUUUGCACUCUAGAAAGUAUUUUUGGGUUAUGGCUUUAAUUUUGCACGCAAGAUGGAAUUAUUGCUAAUGACGUGACAAAUUGAAGUUUGCCACAGUGCAGUGAUGGAUCAAUUUUUUCUACUGAAACCAUUCCGUGUGGAAUGGCUGGAGCGUCUUUAAUGUUACUGCAUAGAAAUUAUUCACCCGAUGCUCCGCAAGAACCAGAUCCAGAAGUGUACGAUGGUACACACGUUUGACUCUCUCUCUAGUUCACUAAAUUGGUUUUGUUGGGCAUCCCCGUUUCCCCUUAGUAUAGGACCUGGUGUAAAGGUGGGUUCUCACCUCCAGGUCUCAAAUGGUCCAGUUGGGCUUCAGCAUUCCCGUUUAGCGCAAAAGUAUCGUAUGUUACUCUAUGGGUUUCGUUUCCCAAAUUGAACCACGCGAUUUAUUGCUCUUGUGAUUUAACUUAUUAAAGGAGCAAGUGAAUAGGGAUUUGAUUUUUUUCACUUUAGAAUUUGAAUCCUGUGCCUGAUAAUUGACAAUUAAAAGGAGGUAGGGAAGGGUGGAAAUAUUAAAAAAAAGGGUGAGUAAGGAUUUAUUUGUCCGCACAAGUCAUCAAAAAAAAUUUUUUGUUAGAAAAGGGUGUAAUCAAAUCUAUUUAUGUUUAAUCUUUGUAUCUCCUCCAUGAAGAUCCAACAACAUAUCACAAGUUCUUUUUUCCUUGAUGAGAUUAAAUACUAAAAUUGACCCCACAAUGAUGGGAUGAGUAUAAACAAAUUACUUUUUUAUGAAAAAAUAAACAAAUUACAUGGAAUACAAAUAAUUCAACAAUAAUCCACACAACUAAUAGGAAUAACAACCAUAUAUAGUUGGCGAAAAUAUUAACCUACCUGUCAAGGUCCAGAUUGCAAACCCCAACCUUGGUCAUUUCAGAUAUCCUGCCCUUAUGCAUGUUGGGCCUUUUUGGUUAUUUGAUUCUCAAAUCAACUGGAUUGUCUGUAAUUUUCAAAAUCUCCGGGGUCCAUAAAAAAAGAAAAAAAAUCUCCGGUGUCCCGAGGUUAUGUAGACAAUAAUACCAGCAUAAGAGGAUUUUGAAACAGCUAAAGUUACACGCGGCUAAAAUCAUUACAAAGUGAGAGAAAUUGGCAUUGGAAGUGAAAGACGGCUGAACGUAUGCACCUCGUAAAAAGGACAUCAUCAAUAAUUACCGAAAAAGACAUGACUUGAACCGAAAAAGAAAAUGAGUGUGCAGCUCUUGACCGAUCACACGUCAAAUAAUUAGAACUUGCUAAUAGCAUAAGUAUAAUAAACCAGCAAAUGGCUUUCUUUUACUUCCUCACAUCUUUGGGCCUCUUGAGAUGAGUAUAUCCCCAUAUGGCUUCUUCUGCUGAACUCUGAUGACGUCUUGGGUAGCUAGAACUGCCAGCAGAAUUGCCUCGUCUUAUUUUCGAGUAGACAAGAUGCGUUACAAAUUGAAUACGUUUCAAAAGGAUGACAAGUAACAAGCGUCCAAUGAAACAUACCACAAGUCCGUAAGAAAAGAGCUGCUGCCCUUUUCUUAUCCAUUCCUCUAGCCAGCUGGUUCAAAGAUUCUGCUUCAGAAGAUCCUGGUGUUUCAAAAUGAGCCUUCAGCUGCCUGUAGCCGCCAUGUUCCAAAAGAGAAUGAAUUACACAAACUAUAUACUCAUAGUCACGAGUAAAGAGAAGAAGAUUAUUCAAAAAUAUGAUUGCAAAAUCUUGCAUUUGAAUCGAACGAGUGAUCUGAUCAUUAGUUUGACCAGCAAUUGGAUGUUUCUGGGUUUGCGUUGGUCCAGUUUCCACCAUAAGUUCUGCAAAGAUAGACAGCAACAUCAUAUAACACGCAUGCAAAAAACAACGGCUAAAACCACCAAAAUUAGCCAAUUAGGAAGGGACUCUUGAUAAUUGAUCACCAUUAUCUGGUAUAAGACCAUUUUCAGAUAGUCUAGACAACUUGAAGUUUGGAUGCGACGAGUUCUCCUCUGCCACCGGUUCAAGGCCAUAAACUCUGUGCCUAGGUGAAGAGUGUGGUCUUUUCAUGUUGGACCUGAACAUUUGUUUAGCUUUAUCAGUCCCUUUUUAGCACAAAAUAGUUUGAAGCCGCACGGCAUCCCAAACAUUUUGUGCUUUUAUCUUGCAAUUUUAAUUACAGUCUGCCUUAAUACUACUGACCUUGCCAAGUUGACUUCUGAAUCAUUUGACAGGAAACCAUGACCAGACCCUGAGCUCGGGAUCGAUCUUACUUCAUCACCUGCAUAUUCCAGUGAAACAACGUCGCGUUUGUCAGGAGUGAAAACAAAUCAUCCCAUAGGCACGAGAAAUAAGAACUUGGAUGCAAAUAUACUGGAAUCUCCUGGUGUUGCCAUCAGGUUGCUCUGACUGAGGCCCCCUAUGUAAGCCCCAGAAAAUGGCACUUUGGUAUUUGCAGUAUCAGUUCCUAUCUCCUCCAUAAGAAUUUCAGGUUGCAUGCUUAUGUCAUGAUUUGUCCUCUGCUUCUCGAUGGAAAUUUCCUCAGUUUGAGAGCCAACACCACUAUGAAAAUCUCCAAUGGGCUUCACAUUCAAACACUUUGUUAGAUGCAAUCACAUAAUUCUUUUCCUAGAAGUUUAAUAUAUAAAAGCAGUGGCUUACAUAACCAAGUGGAUCUCGUUUAUGUAUUCGUUCUGGUUGAGAUGACGAUGAUGGAUCAGGGGGUUGAUGUGUCCAAGUCCCUCCUGUUUGCAAGAGAAUGUUAGGUUCAAGCUUUUGGAGGGAGAUCUUACAUAAUCAUGUCAAAAAACCCACCGGAAGCUGAAUCAUGAGCUGGCUGGGUACAUUUUUUCCAUAGUUCAAGAAGAGGAGCAGGAAAAUGCACUUCUCUGUUCCCAUAAGUGAAUAAUCCAUCAUGUAGAACGGUAAGAGGAAGUUCCGUGAUAUUUGCUAUCUUCCUUUUGGACAUGGCACCUGAUCGCUGCUAGAAACAUAAAAUGCUAAUUUUAUUUCUAGUAAACUUCAAAAAUAGAGAAAUCAGGAACCCACUAAUUUUAAAAUUCCAGUUAUUUCCUAUUGAAAGGAAGCAUUGUGUUUCUUUACACUAUUCUUUCUUCUUCUUGAGGUAAUAUCGGAGGUGUUCUGAAGCCAAGAUUGAUAUACGUGACCAGGGAUAAUGGUUUGCUCACAGUCCAUUGCCAUGGCAGCAGGCUGCCUUGCUCUCUUUCGAGUUGGACCUUGCCUUAACUGAUCCUGCUGAUGUAUAAAUAUAUUCACGUCUCAGAUUGAUAAAAUUCAUGUUCAGCUUCAUCAUCUAUUAUAUUCAUGAAGCAAAUUACACCACUCAAAAUGUCAAACACCUGAAGAACUUUCUUGUCUUUAGCAACCUGCUGAUUUACUUGGGCCUCAGGAUUGUGAUCCUGUACUUCAUCAGCUGCAAGAAGCUAGUGAUCAGUAUACUGAACAUCUUGUCUGUUUCUUUUCACCAAUAUACAAUUUAGCAUUGGAAUUGUUUUCUAUUUUCAUUCUUAGAACUUCACUUCCUCUCGGCAUAUAUAGUUCUCUAUCCGAAGAAAAUGUUAAGGAUCAAGACAAUUGGGUUCUAUAAUUCUUUAAUGUUUAGAAUAGACAUUUGGUUAGAAAAUGUUCUAAUUUCAGGAACAACUAUGCUACAAACCAAUCUAUUGAAAUCCUUAGCAAAUAUUGUUAUUUUCUAAAAAUACUUUCAGUUUUCCUUUCCUUGCUCUUUUUAAUUUCAGAAUAUCUCUUUGAAAUGCGCUACAGCCAUACCACUAAUUUUUACUCUUGCCCUUGAUAGCUAUUUCAAGAAAUGGAGUUAGGAGACUGCAAGUUCUCCAGUAGCAUUGUCAAAUGGAAUUGAAGAUUUUUAUGUGCAACCAUAGGUAAUAGCUGUUUAGGUUACAUAAUGAUUGCAAUAUAAAAAAGAAGCCUGUUUAUGUAGCACAUUUUCCUGUUACCUAUAUCAAAAUGAUUAACUCUAAUAUAGGAAAAAAAAAAACCAACAACAACAACAUUCUGUCCACUUUCCGUGGUGGUACAAGAACCUCAAUUUUAUAUCCUUAAGGAUACGUGCAGUUGCAAAUGCAUUACAAAUUAAGAUGGAGAAAGAAAAACACGAAGAUGAAAUGAUGAAGUUAUUCUGUAUGCAGAUGCUAGCAUUAGAAAGCAAACAGAAGCAUUUGCUGUUGCUUACAUGGAUAGGGUUUGUCUUGAGGAGGUGGAGAAGGUACAAGAGUACUAGGAAUAGUAGCAUGUUCUGAAGCUGCAAAGUUCAAUUGUGUGUCCUCAUCUCCUUCAAUAUCAAACCUGUACUUCCGUGCAAGGAAAUGAAGAAAAGUAAUAAUUCAGUGGUGAAGUUAUCAAGCAGCCAUUGAUCAGGCUGAAACUGCAAAUAUAAACUCAACUAUGGAAGAGGGCAUUUUUAAUUGAGAACCAAAUGAAACAGCUCAACUUGGAACUAAAGUUUACCUUUCAAAGCGGUUAUGCAUGAUUGUGUCUGCCAGAGAUGGAUCAUGGCUAUCAAAUAAAGUGAUAUCAGCUGGAUUAGCUGAGAAAGAAAAGGCCAAACCGACCCACCAUUAAUUGGAAAUUGGACGUCAGUUCAGCAGAAAAAUGGUUACUAUAUGCCAACGACAAAUUGCAAUGGAUCAAAGAUACCUUGAUGGUCAUCCUGGGGAAGAUCCUCCUCCGGAUUUGGAUUGAUGUAGGAAUCAUCCAUGUUAUCCAGCCUCUGCAGACAAAGUUUUAAGAGUUCAGCUCCACAUCUGAGCUAGAUGAAUUACACUAACGCACCACAUAAUAAAAGUUACUUGCACUUCCUGGUUAUGUUUUAUCAUUAAAGACAACUCACUUCACAUAUCCAAACAAGAUAAGCGAUGGUUAAUCAGGCUGGACAUUAGCCCCUCCAAACAGAAAGCUGAAUGAUGGGGUGUGGAUUUGUUAAAAGGAAGGAGAACAAUGAAGCUUUUCUUGGUCCACAAAAUUACAAUUGCUGGUCUUUAAGGGGUACAAACUAAAAGAGGAAGAACAACAAAAAAAUUCAAACACAAAGAGCAAAUGGAAGGAUAUUAAUACAAUCUUCCAGGACAGUCUAACUAGCAAACUACUAACACUGCCUCAGGAAUUCAUAAAUGACUUCAAACAAGCAGUAAAAAGAAAAAAGAAUCAUGCAGCUGGAUUAAUAGUUUCUGAAAAGAAACAAAAACUACAGUUAUUAUAUAAUUCCAGUAUCUUGACUGCCAAACUUUAUAAUGGACUAGAGUUGGAAAUCAUAAAGCUGCUAAACAGGCUAGCAUUUUGCUAAUGCCUAACGAGGUGUACGUAAAUGAUAGAUACUGUAUUUCUCAACUUCACCCAUUUCUAUUCCAAGGAUUGCAUAAAAUGUUAGUGAAGGCAUGUCCAUCCAAUCUCCACAUAAUAAUUCGUGUUGAUAACUUCACUAGAGAAUUUUAUCAACGUAUAGUCUGCUAAUAUUUUUUUCCCCUAAAUUGAAACAAUUAACUUAAAUUCCAGAUAAAGAAGCAUACACAAAUUCCCAAAAAAACUCAAUGAGGUCUGUAAAGCAGAUUUGCUUUAAUCUGUUCUCUACCAUUGAAAAAUAGGCAGUUUGUGUAAACCCCAUUGUUGUGGGCGCAUUAGAAUGUUGAAGAGUUUCCAUUUCUUCAAUAUCCUCCUCCCUAAUUGCUGGUAGAGUAAUGGAUUCAUAUCUGCACAUAUCAACCAAAUCACUAAAGAUCAGACCAAGAGAAAGGAGGAGGAGCAGAUAAACAAGGUAAGUGUAGCCUGCCAAUUUCAGCUAUGCAUCUGCUAAAGUGUCCCAUCCAAACAUUCUUUAACAAAUUAACAUUAAACUCUGCUUUUCUGUUAAGCUUCGUUUGGAUUGAGGAGUUCGAUGAAAGAUUUGAAAUCCAUCCACAUCAAUCUAGUUGUCUGAAUGGCUUAGAAGGCAUUUGAAUUUGUAACUCACCAAUUAUCAAAUAUUAUACACACUACGAUAAUUGGUCAUUUACAAAUUCAAGUACCUCCUAAGUAAUAUAAACAACUACAGGGAUUAGAGAGAAUUUCAAAUCGUUCAUCAAAUCCCUUGAUCCAAAUGCAGCCUUGUUGUAUUUUGCAAAUCAAAUUUUGUUUGAGAGCUCUCGUUCAUUUAGAAUCGCUACGCACUAGAAUUAGUUAACCAAUCAGAAGUAAAAGGUAUCUGUAAAAACAAGACAUUAAUUCUUAUAGACGCUGGAGAAAUGAACUCCUCUGAGCAAAUGCUUUAAUUACUGAUGUAUGGGAGACAGAAAUGGUGCUAACUUGGCUUGAGCUUUGCCCUUAGGCAAUACGGUUGGAUCUGAUACUAAUUGAACUUUCCAAGCUUGGUUUAAUUCCACCUGAGAAAAAUAUCCAGAUUACCGGAAAAACAUCUAUUUAGACAAACAUAAAUAACACAACGGCAGUGAAUACGAUAGAGCUGUAAUAUCAUAGUUUAAAUUCGCAACAAGCAGUGGAGGAUUGCUACUUUACCAGGAGACGAUUUACAUCAUCUGCAACUCAAACCAAAAACAACAGAGAAAACAUUAAUCACUAUUCUCGUAAAGAGGAGAAAAGAGAAGAGUUUAUGAAAAAUAUAAUCAACUACAGAGAUUUUACCGUAGAGGAGUUUCACUUUGCGUUCGUAGACGAUGACGACUCCACCUGAGAAAAUCGAUCAACAAAGAACAAGGCUCUGUUGUUAAGGCUGAAAUUUGAAAACAGAGCUCGAGAAAGUGAAGCUAGUCUAAUAUUCAGGUAAGUUCAUCUACCCAUGAGAAUACUGGAGAGUCUGAGAGCCAUUGGAACCGAUGGAUUCAAAAUCUCUUCACUGCAUUUAAUAACAAAAAAUAAAAUGCACAUAAUCAGCUACUAGUAAUAAGAUUAAAAUCAAUCGAGUGGAAGAACACUAAGAAGGAAGUGGGAGAAAUAAGAGAGUAACCAGAUUUUGAUGAUGUCGAGCUUGUCCAGUCUUUUACGGGUAAUCUUCUCUUUAGUCGUAGCCGCCAUCCUUCAAAUCAAAGCAGAAAAAAGGGAGAAAACGAGAUUAAUAUAAUCCAUGGACAUGAAUUCACUGAUAUAAAUGGAAGUGCAAAUAAACGCCAAAACAGAGUGUAAACAAGGAACGCAGGACUGCGUAAAUUAUGUGGAAAUUUGCGAAUUAUGCAAAGCAUAAUUUCAUGAUUGAAAUUAAGCAGUGGAAUGAAGAGAAAGAUGAAGUUGAAAUACUGUACCAUAUUUGGCCGAGCGGAGCUUUGCGAGCAAGGAGCUGCCUAGAGUAAAACAUUUUUGCUCCACUGCUUAAAACUUUUUAAUUUUUUUGUUAAAUAUAAAUUCACAGAACUUGAGAAGAGUUUUAAAACUGAGCUUUCGUAUAUAUAGUUGAUGGAAGAUUGCUUGGUGAGAAGGUUUCUCUAAUCUGCGUGCGUAUGCUUUGUGUGUGUGUGUGUGGAGACUGAGAGAGAGAGAGAUCAUGUCAUGUGGAAUGCAACGCCAUGCAAAAAGAAAUCCACUCUCAUAUCAUAAACGGAAUUUCGCGCCAACGGCAUCAAAAUAGAGACUCGCUGCAAACAUACAGCAUUGCAAUUUGCAUUGCAUCCAUGUGAUUUGUGGAGAUUUUAUUAGUAUUGAGUAUAUCGAAUCACCUUUACACGUGUUAGUUACACUAUAAGAUCUUCUUCAAUUUCUACACCACAACAUUUUUUUUCCGUCCGUCUUGAGAGUUCUGGAUUUGCCGAAUUUGAGCGCCAACGUACGCCGAUGCGAGGAAGGAAUGCUCCUCCGAGGGAUAGGGUUACUCUUGAAAACAAGCAAGGUUUCAUACCACCUGCCUUCCUGCCUCACACGUGUCCCCUCUUUUUAAUUGUUUAAUGUACAAGCAAGUGUCCACUUCACUCUUAUCAGUUAUCUCCCCUGUAAAUUCAGUCUUCUCUUUCUUUUCUCCAUUGGAUUUAAAUCCAAGACAUCACCCUCGGACACCAUCAAGGAUUCAGAUUAUGAACAAAGGAAUUGUAAUUGUACCCCUACUGGUGAUACAAACAAUUCAAGCAUUUGUUCAUUAGUUGAGGGAGGACCGGAGGGGCUCAGGAUGGAGAAAUUAGUUGAGGUAUCCGACCAAGAAAUUCGCAUAGAUUUUGCUCUGGGCUGCAAAUGCCGAGUCAAUCUCACUCUCACCUCACUCAUUCCCGCCGCCCCCGUGGCCUUCAAGGUCCAGACCUCCGCUCCCCACAAGUUCCUCGUCAACCCACCCGCUGGACUCCUCCCUCCCUUAUCCACCGCUCCCUUACAAAUCAUCCUCAAGCCCCAAUCCCUCCUCCCUCCCACCUUCCCCCGUUGUCCUUCCGACCGUUUCCUCAUCAAGACCGCCCUUGCACCCGACCUCACUCCCGAUUCAACUCACCCCGACUUCCUUACCUCCUGGUUCAACUCCGUCCCCCACCGCCCCACUCGCGACCUCAAGCUCAAGGUUGCUUUUGUGGGCCCGUUGCUUCUCCACCAUGCCUCCGGCAUCGGAGAUAUCGAAGCCGUCAGGAGCAUUAUCAAGCGCCAAAGGUCUGUGGUUGCUGAUCUCUCAACUCGGGAUGCUGAGUCCUUGUAUCGAGCCGCCACUCAGGCCAGGGAAAACUCGGAUGAAAUGGUUAGUCUGCUCCUGGAAGCUGGGCUGAAGGUUGGCGCCCGUGCGGGCUUGGAUGACGCGAGGUUGGCGUCGAAGGGGUGGACGGAGUUACACGUGGCUGCGGCCUUUGAUCGGAUGGACCAGGUUGAGAGGAUUGUGAGAAUGAAGGACCUUGGUUCGCUGGAUGGUAGAGAUAAGGAGGGAAGGACGCCGCUGCAUUUGGCGGCAAGCAGGGGACACUUGGGCUGCGCUAAGCUGUUAUUAGGUGCAGGGGCGAGCGUGGACGCGAGAUGCAGAGACGGUCGGACGGCUUUGUUUAGGGCCGCGGCGAAUGGACAUCGUCAGAUGGUGGACAUGUUAAUUGAGAUGCAAGCCAACCCAAAUAUAGCAGAAAAAGAUCUGGGCCGUUCAGCUAUUGAUGUUGCACGAGAUAAAGGACACGUAAGCGAUGAAUUGUCUACAGUCAACCACUUCAUUUCGCAAGGGCAUAGCCAUUGAUGCUUUUUUUUUUUUUUUCCUCUUGCUUCCUUUGUUACUAAAAUUGUAGCACGAUAUAAAGUCCGAAGUCCCAACUCAUAAUAUGAUGAAUUUGCUGAAAAUGCAGUUUGAGGUAGCGAGAGUGCUUGAGCGAGGCGAAGCAGUGCUUCAUGCUGCGAGACGUGGAGAAUUGAAGCUGCUUGAGUCACUGCUAGAGACGGGUGCAUCCAUGAACUUCUGUGAUCAGUAUGGUUUGACGGCAAUACAUAUGGCUGCUAUCAAAGGGCACAAAGAUGCAGUUAUGACACUGGUUGAAUUUGGGGCUGAGUUGGAAUGCCAGGAUGCUGAAGGCCACACCCCGUUGCAUUUGGCUGUUGAAGGUGGAUGCUUCGAGACCGUGGAGGUGCUGAUUAAUCGAGGAGCCAAUGUUAAUGCCAAGAGCAAGAAAGGUGCUACUCCUCUUUACAUUUCAAGAAUGAUGGGGUAUGAAGAUGUAUCACGCCUUCUCAGUGACAAAGGGGCUGCUUCUUCGGUUUCCUCAACUUCACCCUCUUCCGUACUGUUUUGACAAUGUAGCUGUGCGAUGGUACCAUUGAUUAUCUUGAUUCUGUGUCGGAUGCUCAAUCUCUCUAGUUUUAUCUCCCACACUUGCUAAAAAUCAUGAGUAAGCGUAUGCAGAUUGCAGAGCCUCCUCCCUUUGUAGGAUAUUAACUUACCUGCCUUGAAUCUUACUGCUUACUAUCAUUUCAAAAUGCCUAUUCAUCGUUUUACGCAAUUUUGUGAGAUCAACGAGGUAGCAUAAUACUGAUAAUAGCCAUAAAUAUGUUCCCCACCCCUCCCACUGCAAGUUAGCUAUUAGGAUAUAAGUAUAUGGGCAAAUUACUUAUUACCUCCUGUGAUUUUACAGAAUGCUAGAUGACCCCCUUAAAAUUUUAAAAUAACCACAUAACCCACUUGUGGUUUUAUGUAAAGUUAAAAAUAGACGGAAUGCAUAAUCGGUUAAGGCAUUCGAGGUUUAAAAGCGCAUGUGAUAAAAUUUUGACAUUCAUGCAACUCGCUUAUGAUUUAUAUAAAUAUCUACUUUACUGUCUCUCUACACUUUAUACAAGAUGGUUAAACCAUCCAUUAAUUUAGCAUUUAAGUAAGAGUAUUGUUGAUAUUUCAAUUAACGAUGUUACAUAGAUAUUUUUGGUCAAAUUUCAACUUUAUAUAAAACUAUAAGGGGUGACGUGGACAUUUUAAAACGUUAGGGGAUAAUGUGACAAUAGAUGAAACCACCUCAGAUUACACAUGUAAUUUACCCGAGGUAUAUUGAAGAAGCUGAGACAGAAAUAUACUACUACUUGAAUUAGAUAAGCAGAUUGAAGGAGAAGAGAUAGGCUAGUACUUGGUUUUAAUUCGUUAUCUUGAUCUAAGUAGUGUCGAUCUUUUGGCUGAGACGGAACAUUGGUGGCUUCCUAUCAGAAGACGAAAAGGUACUUGGCAAAAUGCUAUGCUGUGUCGAAUAUUACGCUGCUAUCUUUGAACUGUUGGUUUAAGCUGGUAGUUGUAGAUUUAUCAUUAUUCAUUCAAGCCAGCUUUAAAGGUGAUUGUGCCUUUAGAAUCUUAGUAGAACCUCUUGUAAAGGCUUGGAUGGUUUGUUCGGUGUCCUAGCUUCUGGACGAACUUACAGUAGCAAAUAGAGUCGAGAAGAUCUGGAGAGUGGAAGCAUCCCUUAUUCUUAUGUCCAUCGAUCAACUGAAGGAUACUAAUAUUGCACUAGUGCUAAUCUCAAGUUAAAAAGUGUGCUGUGUUAGUAAUAAUUGAUUCAAGAAGUUAGCGAAGUGUUACUGAGUCAUGUUCUCAACGCUCAGGUUGAAAGCUCUUGAACAAAAGUCCACCUGAUAGAAACAAUACAAUCCACAUUUGCUAUUAUACAGGAAAACAUACAACUCAACCACAACAAAGCUGAAAAAGAGAAAGACCUAUGACUUGUUUCCAACUAACUUGUAUAUAUUCGUAGAAAUAGCUAUGGUGCUUGUCACAACAGCUAGAAUGACCAUUGCUGCUGCUAUUAUUCUGUCCCUUCUUGUUGAAAUGCCGUGGAUAUCUCUGCCAAAGGGAGAAGUAAAAAAAACAAAUGGUUCAAUUUAACAGCGAAAUCAGAAACCAAGAAAACAAGGGCAAUUUCAGUUAAUCUUUUGCUUUUUCCCCUUACUAUCAGCAUAAGGUGGGUUCGGCAAUACCUUAAAGCAAUUACGCCUGGGAAGAUGAAGGCAAGGCAGACAGCAGAAGUUGAUCCCAUGAACUGAAAGAAGUACCAUAUACUGGGAAUGGCUAUUGCUGCAACGUAGGAGAAGCCUAACAAGACUAGAGUAAGAAUGACAAAUCUCUUGUUAUCUGUUGCCAAAACAGCCCUCUUAGGGAACAGAAGUUCAUCGAUGUUGGCCCUCAAAGAGAAGUUGACAAGUGGAAACACCAGCAUCAAAUGGAGUGCAUAGCUUAGUCUAACUAUGUCAUUGAGUAAUGAGCUAAUUGUUGAACCAGAACCUUGAUCAAAAUUCACCAGUAUGUCAUCCAUGACCGAAUCCCCAAAAAGGAGGUACCCGAAAAUGCC
rnacentral:lncRNA from 1 species